rnacentral:rRNA from 1 species
UGAGGAAUAUUGGUCAAUGGGCGGAAGCCUGAACCAGCCAUGCCGCGUGAAGGACUAAGGCCCUAUGGGUCGUAAACUUCUUUAGACGCAGAGCAAUAAGGGCCUCGCGAGGUCCGAUGAGAGUAUGCGUAGAAUAAGCAUCGGCUAACUCCGUGCCAGCAGCCGCGGUAAUACGGGGGAUGCGAGCGUUAUCCGGAUUUAUUGGGUUUAAAGGGUGCGUAGGCGGCGAAUUAAGUCAGCGGUGAAAGACCGGGGCUCAACCCUGGAAGUGCCGUUGAUACUGAUUGGCUAGAAUACCCUUGCCGUGGGAGGAAUGAGUGGUGUAGCGGUGAAAUGCAUAGAUAUCACUCAGAACACCGAUUGCGAAGGCAUCUCACGAAGGGGCGAUUGACGCUGAGGC